AUAUCAGUCAUGCAUAGCAUAUCAAUAAGCGGAGGAAAAGAAACUAACAAGGAUUCCCUUAGUAACGGCGAGUGAAGCGGGAAGAGCUCAAAUUUGAAAUCUUCAAGGUUCUACCUUGACGAAUUGUAGUUUAUAGAAGUGUUUUCUGUUAGUGGAGUGGCAAAAGUUCUUUGGAAUAGGACAUCAUAGAGGGUGAGAAUCCCGUAUUUGGUCAUUCUUCCUAGCGUUGUGAUACACUUUCAACGAGUCGGAUUGUUUGGGAAUGCAGUCCAAAAUGGGUGGUAAAUUUCAUCUAAAGCUAAAUAUUGGCGAGAGACCGAUAGCGAACAAGUACCGUGAGGGAAGAUGAAAAGAACUUUGAAAAGAGAGUUAAACAGUACGUGAAAUUGUCAAAAGGGAAGCGUUUGACACCAGUGUUGUUUUUCCGAAAAUCAAUUACGAAUGUUUUGUUUUUGAGGAGUUAUGACUUCAUCGGCUUGCUUCUCUCUUUACGAAACUUUCUUAAUGCACUUUUCGGUUAACAAGUCAACAUCAAUUUCUUUUGUUGUAAAAGGGUAUGAGGAAGGUGGCUUUCUUUUCGGAGAAAGUGUUUAUAGCCUUGUGCCUCUGCAAUCGGAGAGAUUGAGGUCUGCAGCGUAGAUCCUUCGGGGUUAGAUACGUUUGUGCUAAGUUAUAGCUUUUCAUAGACAACUUGUUGACUAUGUUUAGUCUUGUAGGCUUACUCGCUGACGCUAUUUUACCUACGCUUAGGAUGUUGAUGUGAUACUGCGAGCA
rnacentral:rRNA from 1 species